rnacentral:lncRNA from 1 species
UGGAGUAAAAAGUAGAUGAUGUCAUUAAUUCUGGUUUCAUGAAGCUUAUGAUCUAAUAAUAAGCCCCACACACUGCAUUAGUAAGUUUGAUACCAGUAAGAAUGAUGUUCUAAGGAGGCUUCUGAAGUGAGAAAUCAACUUCAGUAAAAGAUUGAAGGAAGGCUUCAUUGGAAAGUGGUACCUUAUCUUUGAAGAAAGUAAAUUUCAGUGGCUAGAGAUGAGAAGAGGGUGUAUUCUAGGCAUGAGAAAUGACCCAUGUGAAUGUAUGGAGUGAUGACUUUCUUGGAGGAAAAAGGGAACUGAAUUCUGAGGUUAAAGGACUUCAGGCUAGACUGAUUAACUCUGAAACAUUGGGAAAGUGAACUGUGAGUCUAAUGAGAGCUUGACUCCAGGACAGAGUCUGGGAUCUGCAAGCACAAGCCCAAGAAACAACCAGGACCCAGGCCAGUAGUUUGGCCCCCUGGACCAAAUGAGGGUCUAUAAGAGGGAAAAACUUGAAUACUGACAACUUCAGAAUUCCAGUCAAAGCAGUAAAACCAAUCAAUAUUUCUGAAGACUUCUAAGAAAGCAA